UUUAACGGGCCGCGGUACCCUAACCGUGCGAAGGUAGUACAAUCAUUUGUUCCUUAAAUAGGGACUCGUAUCAACGGCAUCACGAGGGUUGCACUGUCUCCCCCCUCCAAUCAGUGAAACUGAUCUCCCCAUGAAAAAGCGGGGAUAACAUUAUAAGACGAGAAGACCCCAUGGAGCUUUAAACCCAAUAGCAACUUAGUAAAAAUUCCUUCUAGCUACAAAAUUAUGCUAACGGCUUUUGGUUGGGGCGACCGCGGAGUAAAAACUAACCUCCACAACGAAAAGAUUUAAAUCUUUACCCAAGAGCUACUACUCUAAGAAUUAGAAAACUAACGUACUGACCCGAUUCGAUCAAUGAACCAAGUUACCCUGGGGAUAACAGCGCAAUCUACUUCAAGAGUCCAUAUCGACAAGUAGGCUUACGACCUCGAUGUUGGAUCAGGGUAUCCCAGUGGUGCAGCCGCUACUGAAGGUUCGUUUGUUCAACGAUUAAAACCCUAC
rnacentral:rRNA from 1 species